CCUUGGAUGUGUUACAUCGCUUGUAAUGAUUGGCAAAUCCGUUUGUCCUUCGUGUUAGAAACAGCGCGAGUAAUUGGAGUACUACUGUACAUCAAAAAAAGAACGGGGCAUCAAUUUACUCUCCGUAUCCACUGAAGAUAGUAUAAUGGGAUCUAUAUUGUCUUUUGUCAAGUCGCGCCAUGCAACUCAGAAGACAUGGAAGCAGCAUGGCAGCGCCACAGGUUUUGCCCGGGGAUGAACCCGCGAGAGUGGAAGAGUUCUGGAGAACAUCUGCACUGUGAAUCGAUGCACCUUACGAGAGAAUAAAACCUGCAAGCAAGGCAACUGCAAUGAAGCAUCAAGAAAGACAUGAGCAUGCAAGCCACCCUGAGACUGAUAAUUCAUGUGAACACAUUCACAAAGUGUAUGGUGAGCAAAGGUGGUGGCCACGUUUUGGAGCUGCAGCUGGGUUUUGCAGAUGGCUAUGUAUUUUUUGGCUGCUUAUCUUUUUUCCCCCAUUGUUUCUGUUGCCUAAAGAUUCUUUGUGAGGAUAAAUCCAGAGGAUACAACAUAAUGCACUGCAAAAGGUCCUAAGACAGGGGAAAUGGUGAAGAUGCACUGUUCCAGCAUUGGAAGAGUGUAUUUUUA
ensembl:lncRNA